ACUUGGUCUUUGAACACACUCAGAAGAAUUGGAGAAACUGAGGAGGAGUUUCAACAUCUGGAAAAGCGGUUGGAAAUGGAAAAGAAUCCGGGCAGCAAUGGUGUCAAAGUUGUGCAGAAUUGAAGGAAGAAACCACAAAGACAGUGCCGGACGGAUGCUGGACAGGUAAAGCCUACAAAUCUUGCCACAUUAAUCAAACAUUGUGGUGU